rnacentral:rRNA from 1 species
AACGUAGGAGGCAAGCGUUAUCCGGAUUCACUGGGCGUAAAGCGCGUGCAGGUGGCGCGGUAAGUUAGGCGUGAAAUCUCCCGGCUCAACUGGGAGAGGUCGUCUAAUACUACCGUGCUUGAGAGCAGAAGAGGAAGAUGGAAUUCCCGGUGUAGUGGUGAAAUGCGUAGAUAUCGGGAGGAACACCAGUGGCGAAGGCGAUCUUCUGGUCUGUUUCUGACACUCAGACGCGACAGCUAGGGUAGUAAACGGG